UACAGAGGGGGCAAGCGUUGUUCGGAAUUACUGGGCGUAAAGGGCGCGUAGGCGGCCUUCUAAGUCAGACGUGAAAUCCCCCGGCUUAACCUGGGAACUGCGUCUGAUACUGGGAGGCUUGAGUAUGGGAGAGGGAUGUAGAAUUCCAGGUGUAGCGGUGAAAUGCGUAGAUAUCUGGAGGAAUACCGGUGGCGAAGGCGGCAUCCUGGACCGGCAUUGACGCUGAGGCGCGAAAGCCAGGGGAGCAAACGGG
rnacentral:rRNA from 1 species